UUCCUGUCUGACUAGUGGUUUCCACUUGGCUGGAUUUAUUGGCAUGACUUGCCUUGUGGGUUCACUCUCACGGGGCUCCUGCCUCUUUAGGGGGCUAAAAGUCUUUGUGGAUCCUGCAACAGUAUGAGAGAGGGCUCUUCCAUGCAGACCCACCACUGUGUCCACAGAGAGAACCCAGGGGCAUCGUUCUGAGAUUGCAGGGUGGCGUCUUCCGGCACAUAGAGACAAAAUAUGUUUGCCCAAGAAAUGUUUGCUCUAUGUUGCCCAGGCUGGUCUGGAACUCCUGGGCUCAAGUGAUCCUCCCACCUUGGCCUUCAGAGUAGCUAUGACUACAGGUGCACACCACCACACCUGGCUACAAAUGUCUUUGAAGAACAAUCUCUAUGCACAUAAAUAUUUCUUAAGGUCACAUUCCUAGAAAUGCAAUUGGUGUGUCAAAAGAUACAUGCAUUUUUAAAAGUUUUAUUGUUUCAGAGAUUUAUCCAUGUCGUAGCAUUUAUCGGUACUUUGUUCCUUUUUAUGGCUGAAUAAUAUCCUACUGUGUGGCCAUACCACAUUUGCUUGUCCAUUUAUCAAUUCAUGGGCCUUUGAGGUUCUUCCACACAUUAUUAUGAAUAAUCUUGCUAUAAACAUUUGUGGGCAAGAC